UACAGAGGUGGCAAGCGUUGUUCGGAAUUACUGGGCGUAAAGGGCGUGUAGGCGGUUCGAUAAGUCCCGUGUGAAAUCCCUCGGCUCAACUGAGGAAUGGCACGGGAAACUGACGGGCUUGAGUUCGGGAGAGGGAAGCGGAAUUCCGGGUGUAGCGGUGAAAUGCGUAGAUAUCCGGAGGAACACCGGUGGCGAAGGCGGCUUCCUGGACCGACACUGACGCUGAGGCGCGAAAGCUAGGGGAGCAAACGGG
rnacentral:rRNA from 1 species